ACUCAAAUGAAUAGACGGGGACCCGCACAAGCGGUGGAACGUGUGGUUUAAUUCGAUAAUAAGCGAAAAACCUUACCGAGACUUGACAUCUCUGGAAAGACCUAGAGAUAGGUCCGUGCCGAAAGGAACCAGAUGACAGGUGCUGCAUGGCUGCCGUCAGCUCGUGUUGUGAAAUGUUCGGUUAAGUCCGUCAACGAGCGCAACCCUCAUCGUAUGUUGUAAUUUUCAUGCGAGACCGCCCUGGUCAACAGGGAGGAAGGUGGGGAUGACGUCAAGUCAGCAUGGCUCUUACGUCUCGGGCUACACACGCGUUACAAUGGCCGGUACAAUGGGCUGCCAACCCGCAAGGGGGAGCCAAUCCCAUCAAAACCGGUCCCAGUUCGGAUAAGAGGCUGCAACUCGCCUCUUUGAAGUCGGAAUCGCUAGUAAACGUGAAUCAGCACGUCACGUUGAAUACGUUCCCGGGUCUUGCACACACCGCCCGU
rnacentral:rRNA from 1 species